rnacentral:rRNA from 1 species
UCAUAGGCGUGUCUCAAAGAUUAAGCCAUGCAUGUCUAAGUACAUGCCUAAACUAAGGCGAAACCGCGAAUGGCUCAUUACAUCAGUUGUGGUUCCUUGGACGUGUCCCUUUUACUUGGAUAACUGUGGUAAUUCUAGAGCUAAUACAUGCAGCAAAGCCCCGACCUCGCGGGACGGGCGCAUUUAUUAGGCCAAGACCAAUCGGGCCCCCUCGCGGGGCCCGUCAAGUUAUGGCGACUCUGGAUAACCUCGGGCUGAUCGCACGGUCGCGAACCGGCGACGCAUCCUUCAAGUGUCUGCCUUAUCAACUUUCGAUGGUAGGUUACGCGCCUACCAUGGUUGUAACGGGUGACGGGGAAUCAGGGUUCGAUUCCGGAGAGGGAGCCUGAGAAACGGCUACCACAUCCAAGGAAGGCAGCAGGCGCGCAAAUUACCCACUCCCGGCACGGGGAGGUAGUGACGAAAAAUAACAAUACGGGACUCUUUCGAGGCCUCGUAAUUGGAAUGGGUACAGUCUAAACCCUUUAACGAGUAUCCAUUGGAGGGCAAGUCUGGUGCCAGCAGCCGCGGUAAUUCCAGCUCCAAUAGCGUAUAUUAAAGUUGUUGCUGUUAAAAAGCUCGUAGUUGGAUCUCAGUUCCAGACUGGCGGUCCGCCUUCUGGCGGCUACUGCUUGGCCUGAACAUUCUGCUGGAUUUCCCUUGGUGCUCUUUACCGGGUGUCUCGGGUGGCCGGCACGUUUACUUUGAAAAAAUUAGAGUGCUCAAAGCAGGCUGAGUGCCUGGAUAAUGGUGCAUGGAAUAAUGGAAUAGGACCUCGGUUCUAUUUUGUUGGUUUUCGGAACACGAGAUAAUGAUUAAGAGGGACAGACGGGGGCAUUCGUAUUGCGACGCUAGAGGUGAAAUUCUUGGACCGUCGCAAGACGAGCUACUGCGAAAGCAUUUGCCAAGAAUGUCUUCGUUAAUCAAGAACGAAAGUUAGAGGUUCGAAGGCGAUCAGAUACCGCCCUAGUUCUAACCAUAAACGAUGCCAACCAGCGAUCCGCCGGCGUUCUUCCAAUGACUCGGCGGGCAGCUUCCGGGAAACCAAAGUUUUUGGGUUCAGGGGGAAGUAUGGUUGCAAAGCUGAAACUUAAAGGAAUUGACGGAAGGGCACCACCAGGAGUGGAGCCUGCGGCUUAAUUUGACUCAACACGGGAAAACUUACCCGGCCCGGACACCGGAAGGAUUGACAGAUUGAGAGCUCUUUCUUGAUUCGGUGGGUGGUGGUGCAUGGCCGUUCUUAGUUGGUGGAGCGAUUUGUCUGGUUAAUUCCGAUAACGAACGAGACUCUAGCCUACUAAAUAGUCGACCGAUCUCGUCCGUCGGUCGAUUCUUCUUAGAGGGACAAGCGGCUUUUAGCCGCACGAGACAGAGCAAUAACAGGUCUGUGAUGCCCUUCGAUGCCCGGGGCCGCACGCGCGCUACACUGAAGGAACCAGCGUGCAUUUACCCCUGUCCGGUAGGACUGGGUAACCCGAUGAGUCUUCUUCGUGAUAGGGAUAGGGGCUUGUAAUUGUUCCCCUUGAACGAGGAAUUCCCAGUAAGCGCGAGUCAUAAGCUCGCGUUGAUUACGUCCCUGCCCUUUGUACACACCGCCCGUCGCUACUACCGAUUGAAUGAUUUAGUGAGGUCUUCGGACCGUUGCCCGGGGCGGCUUCGCGUCGCAUCGGUGUGAUGGAAAGAUGAUCAAACUUGAUCAUUUAGAGGAAGUAAAAGUCGUAACAAGGUUUCC